rnacentral:rRNA from 1 species
GUCCACGCCGUAAAACGAUGAAUGCUAGCCGUUGGGGAGCUUGCUCUUCAGUGGCGCAGCUAACGCUUUAAGCAUUCCGCCUGGGGAGUACGGUCGCAAGAUUAAAAACUCAAAAGGAAUUGACGGGGGCCCGCACAAGCGGUGGAGCAUGUGGUUUAAUUCGAAGCAACGCGCAGAACCUUACCAGCUCUUGACAUGUCCCGUAUGGGUUCCGGAGACGGGAUCCUUCAGUUCGGCUGGCGGGAACACAGGUGCUGCAUGGCUGUCGU